rnacentral:rRNA from 1 species
CAGUAGCCGCGGUAAUACGAGGGGGGCAAGCGUUGUUCGGAAUUAUUGGGCGUAAAGGGUGCGUAGGCGGUUCAGCAAGUCUCGUGUGAAAUCUUCGGGCUCAACCCGAAGUCUGCACGGGAAACUACUGGGCUUGAGUAAUGGAGAGGUGAGUGGAAUUUCCGGUGUAGCGGUGAAAUGCGUAGAUAUCGGAAGGAACACCUGUGGCGAAAGCGGCUCACUGGACAUUUACUGACGCUGAUGCACGAAAGCUAGGGGAGCGAACAGGAUUAGAUACCCCUGUAGUCCCUGUCUCUUAUAU